UGUACGCGGCUGUAGACUGCACGCGAGGACAGAACAACGAGCUCUGUAAGCAGGAGGGAGUGGAGGGAUACCCGACAUUUAACCACUACAACUACGGCAAGUUUGUGGAAAAAUACAACGGCGAUCGUGGGGAGGCGGGCUUCAUCCAUUUCAUGCGCAGCCUCCGAGGACGUGACCAGGUGAAGAGGAAGGAGGAGCUCUGAGAGGGGUGGGGGGGGGGGAGCAGGGAGGGGGAGUUGCACUGCAAAGUUUGUCAUUGCACUGUGACCCUUGACCCUGACAGGGGCCCAAUCAGCACUAACGUGGGAGACUUGAUGACCUCAGCUAUUUUUUGAUACCGUAGUGAUCACGUUUGUAAUAAAUCCAACAGAGAACCUGCAGUGAGCGAGACUCGAGACUCCUUUUUCACGGAGGGGCGGGACAUACACGGGCACAUUUUUUUCGUUUUUUUUAGCCCCAAACACUGUGACUACAUAUGUGAAAAACUACACCUUAUACUUUAUCUAUGCAAUACUGGUGGUGGGCAUCAAGAGUAAAAAGGUGGAGACUGCACAGGGGUCCGAAAACAGUCUCAUCUACCCCCCCUCUGUCUCUAGAAAUAGAAACGCACCCGUUUUGUUCCAAGAUUUCCAUGUGUCACGUCCAGAACCAUCCAGAAUAUUGCUUUAUUGCAGAUUAGACGAUAAAUAACUGCAUUUAACACCUAAGAAAAGCACAUGUUGUACGGUGAAAUGUGCUGUUGUAGUAAAAAGGCACUGUAGCUAUGAAGUAGUUUUAAAUCUUAGCCAAAGGGUCAAUACUCUGAAUGGUUCCAGGCUUUGGUUUGGCUUUUUAAUUUUGUUUUUCUAAAAACUGUGGCCUUAAAUAUAUACAAAAAGAAAAUUGAAAAAAUGCUGGAUUUGCAGAAUGAUCAAACGAAGGGGAUCAGACGCCUGGUGCCGUGACGUUCCUUCAGCUUAUGGACCAGAGAAGAAAACAACAAGAACAUGAAAAGCCAAAUAUUCGUGUGCAUUGUCCUUUAUUUUCAUGGUUUCCAAAUGUUGUGGGGGAUUCAGCGAGGCUCAUUUACACACAAUAUGUGUCUAAAGAUUGCAUGUUAAUGGUAAACAGUCCAGCACAUGAAUCUUCCACA